UACGGAGGGAGCUAGCGUUGUUCGGAAUUACUGGGCGUAAAGCGCGCGUAGGCGGCUUUGUAAGUUAGAGGUGAAAGCCCGGGGCUCAACCCCGGAACUGCCUUUAAGACUGCAUCGCUUGAAUCCAGGAGAGGUGAGUGGAAUUCCGAGUGUAGAGGUGAAAUUCGUAGAUAUUCGGAAGAACACCAGUGGCGAAGGGCGGCUCAC
rnacentral:rRNA from 1 species